rnacentral:rRNA from 1 species
GAGUUUGAUCCUGGUUCAGGACGAACGCUGGCGGCGUGCCUAAUACAUGCAAGUCGAGCGAGCCGAACUAAUUGAUUACCUUCGGGUAUGAAGUUAGGGAAGCGAGCGGCGGAUGGGUGAGUAACACGUGGGUAACCUACCCUAUAGUCUGGGAUACCACUUGGAAACAGGUGCUAAUACCGGAUAAAAGGAGAGAUCACAUGAUUUCUUUUUGAAAGGCGGCGUAAGCUGUCGCUAAAGGAUGGACCUGCGGUGCAUUAGCUAGUUGGUAAGGUAACGGCUUACCAAGGCAACGAUGCAUAGCCGAGUUGAGAGACUGAUCGGCCACAUUGGGACUGAGACACGGCCCAAACUCCUACGGGAGGCAGCAGUAGGGAAUCUUCCACAAUGGACGCAAGUCUGAUGGAGCAACGCCGCGUGAGUAAAGAAGGUUUUCGGAUCGUAAAGCUCUGUUGUUGGUGAAGAAAGAUAGUAAGAGUAACUGCUCAUUAUUUGCCGGUAAUCAACCAGAAAGUCACGGCUAACUACGUGCCAGCAGCCGCGGUAAUACGUAGGUGGCAAGCGUUGUCCGGAUUUAUUGGGCGUAAAGCGAGCGCAGGCGGAAAGAUAAGUCAGAUGUGAAAGCCCUCGGCUUA